rnacentral:rRNA from 1 species
CCGGGCGAGACGGUAACAGGGCGAAGCUUGCUUCCCGCUGACGAGCGGCGGACGGGUGAGUAAUGCUUAGGAAUCUGCCCAGUAGUGGGGGAUAGCCCGGGGAAACCCGGAUUAAUACCGCAUACGUCCUACGGGAGAAAGCAGGGGAUCUUCGGACCUUGCGCUAUUGGAUGAGCCUAAGUCGGAUUAGCUAGUUGGUGGGGUAAAGGCCUACCAAGGCGAUCGAUCCGUAGCUGGUCUGAGAGGAUGAUCAGCCACAUCGGGACUGAGACACGGCCCGAACUCCUACGGGAGGCAGCAGUGGGGAAUAUUGGACAAUGGGGGCAACCCUGAUGCCAGCCAUGCCGCGUGUGUGAAGAAGGCUUUCGGGUUGUAAAGCACUUUCAGUAGGGAGGAAAACCUUAUGGCUAAUACCCAUGAGGCUUGACGUUACCUACAGAAGAAGCACCGGCUAACUCCGUGCCAGCAGCCGCGGUAAUACGGAGGGUGCAAGCGUUAAUCGGAAUUACUGGGCGUAAAGCGCGCGUAGGUGGUUUGGUAAGCGAGAUGUGAAAGCCCCGGGCUUAACCUGGGAACGGCAUUUCGAACUGUCAGACUAGAGUGUGGUAGAGGGUAGUGGAAUUUCCUGUGUAGCGGUGAAAUGCGUAGAUAUAGGAAGGAACACCAGUGGCGAAGGCGGCUACCUGGACCAACACUGACACUGAGGUGCGAAAGCGUGGGGAGCAAACAGGAUUAGAUACCCUGGUAGUCCACGCCGUAAACGAUGUCAACUAGCCGUUGGGACUCUUGAAGUCUUAGUGGCGCAGCUAACGCACUAAGUUGACCGCCUGGGGAGUACGGCCGCAAGGUUAAAACUCAAAAUGAAUUGACGGGGGCCCGCACAAGCGGUGGAGCAUGUGGUUUAAUUCGACGCAACGCGAAGAACCUUACCUGGUCCUUGACAUCCAGAAGAACUUUCCAAGAGAUGGAUUGGUGCCUUUCGGGAACUCUGGAACAGGUGCUGCAAGGGCCGUCGUCAGCUUCGUGUCGUGAGAUGUUGGGAUUAAGUUCCCGUAACGAGCGCAACCCCUAUCCCUUGGCUUGCUUAGCAGGUAAUGCUGGAGAACUCCAGGGAGACUGCCGGUGACAAACCGGAGGAAGGCUGGGGAUGACGUCAGGUCAUCAUGGCCCGUUACGGACCUAGGGCUACACACGUGCUACAAUGGUCGGCGUAACAGAGGGCUGCUCAACCUCUCGCUUGAGAGGUGAGCCAAUCCCUUAAAACGCGUCGUAGUCCGGAUCGGAGUCUGCAACUCGACUCCGUGAAGUCGGAAUCGCUAGUAAUCGCGAAUCAGAAUGUCGCUGGUCAAUACGUACACCAAGA